rnacentral:misc_RNA from 1 species
CAACUGCGUGAAUUAAUGUGAAUUGCAGACACAUUGAACAUUGACAUUUUGAACGCAUAUUGCGGAAGUGGGUUUUUCCCGCUUCCACAUCUGUCUGAGGGUGACAUACAUAUAAGCUUUGCGCGCUCUGUGAUCGGUGAGUUUCCAUCGAUUAUGGUGCUUUGGCGUGCAGGUUUGACUCGCUGCAGCUUCGGCUGUACCGGGUUUAAGAUCGAGCUGGCGGUUGCUUCUUCCUACCGCUAUCGUCUAAUUUGCGCUGCUGGUUUGCUCGUUGCAAUCCAACCUGCUGUUGCUGCUUCCUACGGCGGUUGAGUUGUAGCUGAAAUGGGCUGUACCACGCGUACUGUUUCACCUCAGAUCAGGUGUGACUACCCGCUGAAUUUAA